rnacentral:rRNA from 1 species
UAAUACGGAGGGUGCAAGCGUUAUCCGGAAUCACUGGGUUUAAAGGGUGCGUAGGCGGUUCGAUAAGUCAGUUGUGAAAUUCCCCGGCUUAACCGGGCGGACUGCGAUUGAUACUGUUGGACUUGAAUCAGGUUGAGGUAGGCGGAAUGUGACAUGUAGCGGUGAAAUGCUUAGAUAUGUCAUAGAACACCGAUUGCGAAGGCAGCUUGCUAGGCCUUUGAUUGACGCUGAGGCACGAAAGCGUGGGGAGCAAACAGGAUUAGAUACCCUGGUAGUCCACGCCCUAAACGAUGUUUACUUGCUGUUCCAGGCUUGCCUUGGAGUGGCGAAGCGAAAGCGAUAAGUAAACCACCUGGGGAGUACGCCGGCAACGGUG